AGCGAACGCUGGCGGCAGGCCUAACACAUGCAAGUCGAACGGAUCCUUCGGGAUUAGUGGCGGACGGGUGAGUAACACGUGGGAACGUGCCCUUUGGUUCGGAACAACUCAGGGAAACUUGAGCUAAUACCGGAUGUGCCCUUCGGGGAAGGAUUAUCGCCAUUGGAGCGGCCCGCGUCUGAUUAGCUAGUUGGUGGGGUAAAGGGCCCACCAAGGCGACGAUCAGUAGCUGGUCUGAGAGGAUGAUCAGCCACAUUGGGACUGAGACACGGCCCAAACUCCUACGGGAGGCAGCAGUGGGGAAGUCUUGCGCAAUGGGCGAAAGCCUGACGCAGCCAUGCCGCGUGAAUGAUGAGGGUCUUAGGAUUGUAAAAUUCUUUCACCGGGACGAUAAUGACGGUACCCGGAGAAGAAGCCCCGGCUAACUUCGUGCCAGCAGCCGCCGCAGUAAG
rnacentral:rRNA from 1 species